rnacentral:lncRNA from 1 species
GAGGUUGCCAGGGCAAGACUAAAGAGGAAAUCUCCUGAAUGCACCCCUGGGUAGACACCUGCGUGAUGCUGGGAAGGAAUCUAGGAAAAUCUAGGUCACAGGUGGCUUUAGUUCAUAUCUAAGAGGUCCCAGCUGAUUGGCUCAAUCAAAAGACAGACGCCAGACAGAAGAACUCCAUGUCUCUCCAGCAGGAAACUUGGUAGGCAUGUUGGGUGGUCCUGGCACAUCUGCUAGCUUUCUUCAUGGACUUCCCAUCCCACUUACAAUGAAUCCAAAUGACUCACCACAGCUUAUCCAGCCCUCCAGGACCUGGCCCUAACCUGCUCCUCUGGUUGCAUCUCCUAUCCCGCUCUCCGCUGCUCCAGGUGCACUGGAACCUGCUGGAAUGUUCUCACCACAGGACUCCAGCUGCGGCUGCUCCUGAGAACAGUCUAAGCAGCAUCUGGUUACACGGCUUUCUCCUUCACCUCAUCAGGUGUUUGCGCUAACACAGCCUCCAUUUCUGACUCCCUUCCUCCAAAGAGCCCACCCUACCCCUUCGCCGCUAUCAUCUUACACUACUUAAUUUUCUUUGUAGUGCUCACUCUCUGAAAUUAUAUUACUUUUGUUGGCUUGUUUGUCAUUCACCUCUUCCACUGGAAUAAUACACACUCCACAAGGACAAAAGUCUAUUCCUCUGCCUGAUUCACUAAAGAAUCUGAAUUUUCCAAAAACCUAUCUGGGCACAGAGGAAGGUCUCAAUAAGUAAAUAUCUGUGGAAUGAAUAAACAGACAUAAAUUUGUCGCACUGACAUAAAUACAUUUUAUGAAAUAAUAAUGAACAUCAUAUGCAAAUCAUCACUGAUAAGAUGAAAGUAGGAGUUCCCACUGUGGUGCGGCAGGUUAAGGAUCUGGCAUGGUCUCUGCACUGGCGCAGGUUCGAUUCUCAGCCCAACACAGUGAGUUAAGGAUCCUGUGUUGCCACAGCUGCAGCUCGGAUUCAAUUCCUGGCCCAGGAACUUCCAUCUACCGAGGGUGAGACCAAAAAAAACCACAGCCAAAGGGCCAAAGGCAUAAGCGUUUGUGUGUUACAUUAUAUGCCAAGAGCCGACUGGCAGAACUGCCUUGGGCACUCCUCUGUUCUUCCUGACCUUAAAAUCCAUUUGAAACGAGGCUCUGGCUGUACCAGUUUGGAAGUCCUCAGAAGUUCACUAAGAUCUUUUUUUUUUUUUUUUUUUUUGGUCUUUUUGCUAUUUCUUGGGCUGCUCCCGAGGCAUAUGGAGGUUCCCAGGCUAGGGGGGGCUGCCUUAAAAAGCAAAAAACAAAACAAAGAAAACAAACACGGUAAUCUUUAAAAUCACAACACAGCCAGUACUACCAUUCAUUUUCGGACAGCAAGAGGAAAAGAGCAUUCUUGUAGCUAGCUUUCACUCUCCAUGGCCUCUUUUCUUUAAGACUAGUAAACUGCACCAUUUAGACCAACCUUCAAGAGUUAAUCCAGUUCCUUCGCUAAGUAGGUGAGUCAUGCUUCCUGUUCCCCAUCUCACAAAGGCCACCCUUCUGCCCAGCACAGCACACAACACCAGAUCUUUCUGGCAAAGGGUGCGGGAGACUCAAGAGCAGAGAUAUUUAUAAACAAGACUUUUGUGGAAGAAAACCUUCAGUGCCACCCAGUAAUACUUGUAUUUUCCAUACUUAGUGUAUAAUUAAAUCCAUGAGAACUAUAAAAUGCAGGUUAACAUGCCUUUUUUUUUAUAUCUAAUAAAUACAUUUCACUCUUUAAUCCUGAUUUAUACCUUCAGCUUAUAAUUUAGCCCACGUGUAGAACUUUGGUUUUUUUUUUCCCUCCAUCAACCCAGUUUCUUAAGACUCUUAACAGUGCAACACACUCACACUUCAUGAAACAAGUAUUGGAACUAGAGAGUCAAUGGCCAUGCCCCCUUUUGGUCAGGUCCAUCACAGUACACUCAUCCAGCCAAGAAGUCCGAGGAAGCUGAGUGAGUUUGCAAAGUAUGUUAAUAAGGAAGCAACAUAAACUAAGAGGACCCUUGAGUGAAAGGGGGCGUGGUGCCGUCUAAACUCACCACAGCAAACCCUAGGCUCGAAAGGCAACUCAAUGUUUACAACUGUACUUUUACUGGGGCCUUAGAACAACACCGUAAGGUAGAUGGGGCGAAUAUCACUACCUCCAAUUUUAAGGACCAGAAAAUCAGAUCAAAGAAUGCUGGAUCCCAGGAGGGGGCAGAAGUAGGAAUAAAAGUCACAUCUCCUCUUUUCUUGUCUAUUCAUUCUCCUCCUACCAUAUCAUUUGACCUCUCACGUACAAUGACCAGCCUGGAAAAAUGAUGCUGGUAAAUUCACCCCAGACCCCUCAACUUGUACCCCCUACUCCCCUUUUUUUAAUCCUCUUAUAGGAGCUUAUUACAUGAAAAGAAAUCAGGAAAGCAGAACUGAAACUUAAAGCUUAUUCCACUGAUAAGGAUACUUAUACAGGAAGCAAUAAAUUACCAUUGCUUCCUGUUUUCAAGUAUUCUUAUCUGUAGGACACUACAUUUUUUUCCACCACAGAAUCUCACAUUUAGGACACUUCCCGAAAUAGAAUCUUCUGAUCUUCAGCUGUCAGCUGAAGUUGUUUCAUAAAUAGCCCAGCAUAUGUACUCCGGAGGCUUGCUAACACUCUAAAUGCAAAUAUAGUCCAGUCACACCAAUUCCUCUUAGGCUCUGGUGACAAUUGAGAACGUACAAAAUCCAGCAGCCCCAGAAAUUCUAUGGAGGAGCCCAAGAAUGUCUGUAGUCAAUGACCUGUAGAACUCUAUUGGGACAUUUCUGGAAAUUUUGAAAUAAAAGCCAUGAGCUUUUAUAUAUAUAUAUAUCUCCCUACAUUUAAUAUAUGGUUCAUAAAGAACCUACGAUUUGUUUCAGGUCAGUUAAUUUUUAAAUAGUUUUACAAACAGCUUUUAUCCAAAGAUUCAUUUUGGUGAAAAGAAUAAGCAUAAAGAAACCCCUGGAUCCUGUAUUUUAAACAACUUUUCCAGAGGCUUUGCUAGUCAACAAGUACAGACAGCAAACGUGAUUAUAAGGGAAUGAGUUUGAAAAAUUGCUCAUGUAACCCAAGGUUAAAUACAUGGAGACGCACACACAUACGGAGGUAUAAAAAUGCCUAACUCUAAUCUUUAUGAUCUAGUAUGUCAGGAAUUCUAUUGCCAGAAUUACACAACAAGCUGAGACCAUUUCAGAGAGAAAGAGGAAAAAAAAAAAAAAAAAAAAAAUCAAUGUCUGUGUUUUAAAGGGGAAAAAAAAAGGGACUGCAGGGAAUGGGACCAUGAGGCAUAAAUGGCCUGGGAUUUUAUCAUCUGUCUUUUGUGUCCUGGUAACCAAACAAAACAUCUGUGCCUGUAUGGCCCCCUUAUCACUCCCUCCUCUAAUAACCUGCCCUACACUCACCCCAGGUGGGUGAGAAGGGAUUUUACCUGUGUUGAUGGAAGCUUAAGAGAAGAGUCUUAAGGUUGAUCUCACUUUGAAUAUAAUAAAAAAUAUGGUUGAGUGUCUUUUGGGUUUCUUUGCAUUAAAAAAAUUUUUUUAUUAUGACUGAUUUACAGUGUUCCAUCAAUUUCUGCUGUACAGCAAAGUGACCCAGUCAUAUACAUAUGUACAUUCUUUUGAGUGUUGACUCUAUAAAUAUGCUCUUCAAGCCCCUUUAAGCCAAUUGCCAAGAAGCUGCCUUUUUCACACAAAGGUGAUAAACACAGAUUCACACAGAGGGGCCCCUUUAUGAGCCUGGGAAUAAUUCCGAAGUCCAGGAAGGAAACCGCUGUCCCCAGACUACAGAUCCAAACAGGCAGGAGGGCCUGAUCAGUUCCAUAUUCCCAGGGGAUGCCCAGAAUGGCUGAUGACCAAAUUCACAGGAACUUGAUUAACCUGAUUCUCUAAGAAACAAUUAUUAUAAGGAAAAAAAGAGGUGGAAUUUUAUAAAUAGCUAUUGUAAGACAAUAUUAUAAAAUAAUUUUUAAAAAAGACUACCAGUAGAAGGAUUCAAAUAACUCUGUUUAAAAAAAAAAAAAAUCCAUAUAGCUAGGUCCUUGAAGGAAGAGAGCUUAAGAAGGUUCUGAUCAGAGUGGCUCCAAGAUGAUGCAAAAAUCUAUGUUCUGCUGUCAUGGAUCAAAUAAACGCUGAUACAGAGAAGAUUAUCAUGGGAAGAACUGGACAAAUUAGGAAGCAAAUCUCCUGGGUUGGUCUGAAACACUACUCCAGAAUGUUGGCCAAUUCUGGGCAGGAAAAAGAUCUGGAAUACUUUAGAGGUUUUGGAAAGAACCGCAAAAUUGUUUGAAAGUUUGAGAAAUCCGAGUGAUGACUAAAACCUGAUGAUGGUUAAUAUUAAGGGAAAACUGAGCGCUGACUUCACAAAGGUCUUCGAACACAGGGAGUGAAACAUCCCAUAAGAGGUCAGGGGGCUGGAUAAACAGACUAUGGUACAUCCAUACAGCGGAACAUUACUCGGCAAAGAAGAGAAAUGAACUACCAAGCCAUUACAGAAAGGGCUUGGAUGAAUCUUAAGAGCAGACUUCUCAGUAAAAGAAGCCAGUCUGAGAAACGGAUGGACUGUGUGAGUCCAAUCAUAGAACAUUCUGGAAAAGGCAAAAACCCGACAGAGAUGAUAAACAGAGCAGUGGUUUAUCCCCAGAGGUUGGGGAGAGGGAGGAGGUUUGAAUAGGGAAGUACAGGAAAUUGUUAAGGGAGUGAAACUAUUUACAUGAUAUUAUAAUGGUAAAUAAGACCAUAAGGGUUUGUCAAAACUUAAAACUUUAUGGCAAAAAUAGUAAACCUUAAGUGUAUGAAAAAACAUUUUUUUUUCCCCACAGGUAGACUGCAGAAUGUAACUGAAGCAUCUAAAUGUUUACAGAUGUGUAUGUACAUAGAUUAGUACACACACAGGUAGGCCUUGCUCUGGCAACUCAGAGGGCAAAGGAGAGCAAAAACUACAUCUAGCGCCCAGAUCUUGGUUUCUGAUUCUCCAAUAAAAGGAACCAGGGCUCCUUGGAGGAAUGGAUGAUUCUAAGACUGGGGGAGGAAAUAAAAUAAGAUGAUCAUGGGAGUUCCCGUCGUGGCUCAGCAGUUACCCAACCCGACUAGGAUCCAAGAGGAUGUGGGUUCAAUCCCUGGCCUUGGUGAGUUAAGGAUCAAGGGUUGCUGUGAGCUGUGGUGUAGGUCACGGACUCGGCGCAGAUCUGGCCUUGCUGUGGCUGUGGCUGUGGCUGUGGCGUAGGCCAGCAGCUGUAGCUCCGAUUGGACCCCUAGCCUGGGAACCUCCAUAUGCCUCAGGGGCAACCCUAAAAAGCAAAUAAAUAAAUAAAUAAAUAAGAUGGUCACGGAAUAUCUCAUAAUAACAGAAAGUAAGGAAAUGCAUUUUAAAAACAGUACUGAGUUUAAAAUGAAUGAUAAAACAAGUUUAGGUAAUUAUGAAAAUAUUCAUGAAUUCUGCUCUCUAAAUGGUUUCCAAACACCUGCAAAUUGUCUGGCCACUUUGAAGAACCACCAAUUUUAGUUGAUGAAUUAUUGAUUUGUUUAAUAGAAAAGCUGGAUGAUGCAAAUUUUCUUUUAGAGGCAACGAACUCCACAAUUAAAUUUCAGCAAAUGAAUACAUAUUAUAUUUGAAACUCAGAAAGUCAUAUUCGGUUUCAUGAGAACUGUGUGAUCACUUAAGAAACACUUUACAUUUAUGGCUAUUUUUUCCCAAGAAUUUCUGUUUAAAUUCAUUUCCAGUUUUACUUCCUCUUUUAGCAAACUCAUUAAUAACAGUACCAAGGUUGGUUACGAUUUCCUGUUUCAUCUUCUGCGCAUUUAAAUGUAUUCAUUGUGUUUUAUUUUUCAUUUGUUUUUAGAACCUUACUGUACCUUAAAGGAGUUUUUUUUUUUUAACUACGUAAAUUUAAAUCUUCUGACAAAAAUAUCAUUUAUAUCUUCAACUUAAAAAAAAAAAAAAAAAAAA